rnacentral:rRNA from 1 species
UACAGAGGGGCCAAGCGUUGUCCGGAUGGACUGGGCGUAAAGCGCACGCAGGCGGAUGCGCGCGUGGGGGGGGAAAUCUGGCCGCUUAACGGCCAGGCGCCAUCCCAUACGGCGCGUCUGGAGUGAUGCAGAGGUCGGUGGAAUUGCCGGUGUAGUGGUGAAAUGCGCAGAGAUCGGGAGGAACACCAAUGGCGAAAGCAGGUAACUGGACUAUUACUGACACUCAGCUGCGAAAGCUAGGGGAGCAAACAGG